rnacentral:rRNA from 1 species
UGGGGAAUUUUGGACAAUGGGCGAAAGCCUGAUCCAGCAAUGCCGCGUGUGUGAAGAAGGCCUUCGGGCUGUAAAGCACUUUUGUCCGGAAAGAAAUCCUUGGCUCUAAUACAGUCGGGGGAUGACGGUACCGGAAGAAUAAGCACCGGCUAACUACGUGCCAGCAGCCGCGGUAAUACGUAGGGUGCAAGCGUUAAUCGGAAUUACUGGGCGUAAAGCGUGCGCAGGCGGUUUGCUAAGACCGAUGUGAAAUCCCCGGGCUCAACCUGGGAACUGCAUUGGUGACUGGCAGGCUAGAGUAUGGCAGAGGGGGGUAGAAUUCCACGUGUAGCAGUGAAAUGCGUAGANGAUGGUGGAAGAUACCGAUGGCGAAGGCAGCCCCCUGGGCCAAUACUGACGCUCAUGCACGAAAGCGUGGGGGAGCAAACAGGAUUCAGAUACCCUGGUAGUCCACGCCUAAACGAUGUCAACUAGUUGUUGGGAUUCAUUUCCUUAGUAACGUAGCUAACGCGUGAAGUUGAU